UACGAGGGGGGCGAGCGUUGUUCGGAAUUAUUGGGCGUAAAGGGUGCGUAGGCGGUUUGGUAAGUCUUGUGUGAAAUCUUCGGGCUCAACUCGAAGUCUGCACGAGAAACUGCCGGGCUUGAGUAUGGGAGAGGUGAGUGGAAUUCUCGGUGUAGCGGUGAAAUGCGUAGAUAUCGAGAGGAACACCUGCGGCGAAGGCGGGUUGCUGGGCCGACACUGACGCUGAAGCGCGAAAGCCAGGGGAGCGAACGGG
rnacentral:rRNA from 1 species